rnacentral:rRNA from 1 species
UACGUAGGGGGCUAGCGUUGUCCGGAAUUAUUGGGCGUAAAGAGCGUGUAGGCGGCCGAGUAAGUCCGACGUGAAAUCUGGAGGCUCAACCUCCAGCGGUCGUUGGAAACUACUCGGCUAGAGUCCGGAAGAGGAGAGUGGAAUUCCUGGUGUAGCGGUGAAAUGCGCAGAUAUCAGGAAGAACACCGAUGGCGAAAGCAGCUCUCUGGGACGGUACUGACGCUGAGACGCGAAAGCGUGGGGAGCGAACAGG